rnacentral:lncRNA from 1 species
GGAUUCCUGUGGAUUUAAUCCUGUAGGAUGAAAACAAUAGUGAAUAUGUCUGUGUGUGGUUCAUGCAUCCUAAUGUAUCAGGCUAUGUCUUAGCACGACAUUAGCAAUAACAGGUUGUGAAGCUAAAAUAAACUUUUCUAAACGAUCAGCCACACUAGAAAAAAGCCUGAAAUCUCUUUCUGUUCCCUCUGUGGACAACAGUGUUUCAAACUUAUUGUGAUAUGAAGAGACAAUCAAAGAGUAUGCAGCCAAAAAAGAAAGAAUAAAGUGUUGUAGAAGUGUGUUAAGACAAUUAAUUAACAUAAGCUAAUGUUAUUUUCUGUAUUUUGUGUUUUUGUGGUGUUUUCCAGCUUUUAAAACUUUGUGAUUUGUUACUAUUUAUUUUCUCCUUCUAUUCACUUUUGUAUUUAAUUUUGUACUUAUAAUUUUGCCUUCAUUUUCUUUAAAAGAGUGAACAUCAUUCAGGCCAAGUAAACCUGCAUCGGCCCCCGUGCAUAGGCUGCAAUGAAGAGAUGGGAACGGCCAGCCUGCCCAGGACAGAGGCUGAGAACUGGGGAAUCACAGCCAGCAGCAUUAUUCACAAUAGCCAAGAUUUGGAAGCAACCCAAGUGCCCAUCGACUGAUGACUGGAUAGAGAAGAUGUGAUACAUAUAUAUAAACAAUGGAAUACUACUCAGCCAGAAAGAGAGAAAAUUGUCCUAUUUGCAACAGCAUGGAUGGACCUUGAGGGUAUUAUGUUAACCAAAAUAAGCCAGACAGAGAAAGAGAAACACUGUAUGAUUUCACUCAUGUGUGGAAGAUAAACAAAUUCAUGGAUAAAGAGAACAGAUUUAUGGUUACCAGAG